CCCCAAGUUAUUAUUGUUUGUUUUAUUUUUCAGUUUUUGGUUUUUAAGUUUUUAAUCGUAAGUUAUUAAGUUUAUACUUUUAAUGUCUCCUAUAGUUAUUAAGUUUACCUUUGUUCCUAUAAAAGGGUGAUAUCUCAAUUAAAAUACAUAUCAAAAUUUGUGGCAGAUCUAAAAAUUUUAAGGGAUGGAGCUUGAACCUAGGGCUAGAGGGGUCUGGAAGAUAGUUUUAUCACUAGACUAACUUCUGGUAUUGGUAUUAUUUCGAUUUUAAGAACGAAGAAUUGAGGGUGAUCCGAGCCCUCCUUGAUCCAUACUAAAUCUGUCGGUGAUCACAAUUUUGUAUACUGCAUUAUACCUUUUGUUACACAUUUUGCAUUCUGUGCAUCAAACAAUUUUCCCUACAUCAAUAAGAAAAUUUAAUUUCACUCUCAAUUUACUUUCUUCUCUUUGUUUAAGAAACAUUGAGAUAUUUUUUUGUCUCAGCAACAUUUUUUUUCUAUCAACUCCAUUUUCUCAACAGUAGUAUCAGGACUACUUUGAUUUUUUCAACAGGAACAAAGACAGAAGAUCCCCCUAACAUAAUAUAAUGGAAGACAAGAACCUCAAAGAGAUAUCUUUACUUCAGUGCGACUAAGGAGAAUUCUGAUAGUGGCAUCAGUAUUUUAUUUUAUUUUUUGUUGGGGACAAAUUUUGAGUUCAUCAAUUUGUGAAUGAACCUUUUUUCUUUUUUUUCUUUUUCUUUAAUCUAGUAACCGAGCUUUCCUUGAACAAUGAAAGAGAGUGCAAAGGCAUGAAAAAAUGGUGACAAAAGUGUAACUAAAUAAAUAGGUUCCAAUCCAAGCGAAUAUGACCAAGCUAGUGGUUACAAUAAUCCCAAAGAACAACGUCCAUAAAGAUGUGUUAACCUUAGCUCCUUCCCAAAUUUUCUCACAUGAUCGUUCAACCUCUCUGAAAUCCUAAUAUUUCCUUCAAGCUAAGCCAAACACCCAACAUAUUAGCGAUGCCACAAACAUUAUACUGAAAGUAGAGACGAGGAGCAAACAUAAUUUUACGUAAAAAUCAUACAGGGAGAAAAACUACAGUGAUUAUAAUCUUAUUAUUUCUAAUAAUCAUAAAGGUACAAAAGGGAAAAAUUUAUAGACAACACGAACCUAAUUAAAAGAAUAAAAAUAUUUGAACAAAGUAAAUCUUAACUACCCAUGGGCUUUCAUCAUGACCUAACCUCUAACACUCCCUCUCAAGUUGGGACAUAAACGUCAUAAAGACCCAACUUGCUAACACACAAAUCAAAAUUUUGUCUGAGGAGUCCCUUUGUGAGGAUGUCAGCAAUCUGUUAACUUAAGGGUGUGUAAGGAAUGCAAAUGUUACCAUCGUCAAGCUUCUCUUUGAUAAAGUGUCUGUCAAUCUCCACAUGUUUAGUCCUGUCAUGUUGGAUUGGGUUAUUGGCAAUGCUCAUGGCUAUCUUGUUAUCACGGAAUAGCUUCACAGACACCUCAAAGUCUUGAUAGAGAUCAUACAGCACCUCUUGGAGCCAAAUCUCCUCACAAAUCCCCUAACUCAUAGCCCUAUAUUCGGCUUCAGCACUGCUUCUAGUCACAACUCCUUGCUUCUUCUCCAAGCAACAAGAUUGUCCCACACAAAAGUACAUUAUCCUGAGGUAGACUUUCUAUCAACAAUAGAUUUAGCCCAGUCAGAAUCAGUAUAAGCUUCAACACAUCUUCGGUACGUCUUCCUAAAUCUCAGACCUUUAUCAGGAGUUGUUUUUAAAUACCUUAUAAUCCUGUUAACCACCACCAUGUGGUCCUCAUUAGGUGCUUGCAUGAACUGACUAACAGUGCUCACAACAUAGGAGAUGUCAAGUCUAGUGUUAGAUAAGUAAAUAAGUUUUUCCACCAGGCACUGAUAUUCCUCUUUAUCAACAGAAACCCUGCCACCUGAAUUUUCGAGUUUGACAUUGAACUCAAUGGGUGUAUCGGCAGAACGAAAUCCUAACAUACAUGUCUCAACUAAUAAAUCAAGGGUGUACUUUCUUUGGGACACAGAGAUGCCUUCUCUAGAUCUAGCAAUCUUCGUCUUAAGAAAGUACUUCAAAUUCCCAAAGUCCUUCAUUUCAAACUCAAACCCCAUCUACUUCUUUAGUUGAACGAUCUCAUCAGUGUCAUCCCCAUAUAGCACAAUUUCAUCGACAUAGACAAUCGAUACUGCAAUUUUCUUUGUCUUAGAGACUUUGGUGAACAAGGUGUGAUUGGAGUGCCCCUGAUUGUACCCCUGAGAGUUAAUGAAAGUGAAAAAUUUGUCAAACCAUGUUGUUAGUGAUUGUUUCAACCCGUACAAGGACUUCCGAAGCUUGCAAACCUGAUUGUUGCUAAGGUGCUAGUUGAACGCCUAAAAAAAUCAUGCCUAAUGUAAUCGCCUCUCCACACAAAGCACAUUUAUUGAAGGAGGCAAAUCUUGGAUUCAAUCCUUAUAGCAAAUGA
rnacentral:lncRNA from 1 species